GAUGAACGCUGGCGGCGUGCUUAAUACAUGCAAGUCGAACGGGAGACUAGAAAUAGUUUUUAGUGGCGAACGGGUGAGUAACGCGUUGGUGACCUGCCCCGAAGAGAGGGAUAACAGUUCGAAAGGAUUGCUAAUACCGCAUGUGGUCAUUGGAUUUAGAAACCGAUGACUAAAGCAGUAAUGCGCUUUGGGAGGGACCUGCGUCCCAUCAGCUAGUUGGUGAGGUAACGGCUCACCAAGGCGACGACGGGUAGGGGACCUGAGAGGGUGGCCCCCCACAAUGGAACUGAAACACGGUCCAUACACCUACGGGUGGCAG
rnacentral:rRNA from 1 species